ensembl:lncRNA
CUCCGGUCCGGUCCAGGCCGGCUGCGCUGCCACAGCUUAGCAAUCAUCUGAACAGACUCAUGUGUUGUCUUGUGUUUGUGAACCUUCAAAUCAUCAUCAUUUUUGUUUUUUUUAAUCAACUUUGCACUACAUGUAAAUAAAAUCUAUAUGACCUGAUUGGUUUCAAAAUGGCGGUCAUCCUGAGGGCGCCAGGGGAGGCCGGAAGGCGUUAUGUUUUGACCUGUGUGGCAUGUUUAGGCGUGGUCGUCGUGGCGACUCGUGUUUGUUUGGGCAUGCGUUGCGUUCGUACUCGCCGUUUUGUGGCCGCCAUCUUGGAGGUCCGUCACAGUUAAACUGUUACCUUUUAUUUUAGUCGACUCUUUCACUCAACCGGAUAGAAAAACGCUUCUUUUGGUUCUCGUUUCUGAUUUUGCAAAUGAAGUUUUUUAUAUUUUUUCUCGUUUUGGAGCGAUCAAAAAGAUUUUCGUCGGGAUUUGUUCACGAUUGUGUCGAGGUCGGUGUAGUUUGCUGACGACGUUGCCUGUCAUGUGACAGGAUUACUGCAUGGUCGCCAUUUCUAUUCUGUCCCGCUCUUCAUACCAGACCGUAGACCGCACACCGCAAAUACCGACGAGUUGUCAAACACGUCCUCAGGAGUAGCGAGGGGUCACACCCGACUGUGUGGGGUCCGCGUGUUGCCGUAUGACGCUCGUUGGGGGGUUUAUCGGUCGAUGAUGUCAUCGUGGGACGGAUAUCAGUCGGUUAUCGGUCGGUGAUGUCAUCGUGGGUCGGUUAUUGGUCGGUGAUGUCAUUGUGGGUCGGUUAAAGGUCGGGGAUGUCAUCGUUGGUCGGUUAUCGGUCGGUGAUGUCAUCACGGAUCGAUUAUCAGUCGGUUAUCGGUGAUGUCAUUGUGGGUCGGUUAUCAGUCGGUUAUCGGUCGGUGAUGUCAUCACGGGUCAUUUAUCGGUCGGUGACUUAAUCGCGGGUCGCUACUCUGCAUCGCUUCGGAUGACAUGAGUGAUGAAUUGGCAUGGGGGAGGCGGUCUUGGAUUCAGACGGCGGCCUCUGGCGGCCAUCUAGUGAGGCGAGGUGUAAAGUAGGACAUGCUGUCUUCUGUUCAUAUGUAAACUAUUAACCGUGGCUUAACAUUUUCUAUGCUCCUGCCAUCCUUUCUGUUCCAGCAUUAGCUAGCAAUAUGUAUAGAAAUAUAUUAUUCUAUGUGCUGCCAUGGACAAAUAAAUGUAUCAACAAGUCAUGCUUCUCUUCGUCUCAAACUUCUCUGCCCCAACACCACUGGUGGAGCAAGGCACCACCACUGCCAGGGUUAGGGGUCCUAUUCCAUGUCUAGCUCCACUGGUAGAGCAAGGCACUCACA